rnacentral:rRNA from 1 species
GAACUGAAGAGUUUGAUCCUGGCUCAGAUUGAACGCUGGCGGCAUGCCUUACACAUGCAAGUCGAACGGCAGCAUAGGUGCUUGCACCUGAUGGCGAGUGGCGAACGGGUGAGUAAAACAUCGGAACGUACCUGCGAGAGGGGGAUACCGUAGCGAAAGUUACGCUAAUACCGCAUAAACUGUGAGCAGAAAAGAGGGGGAUCGCAAGACCUCUCGCUCGCGGAGCGGCCGAUGUCGGAUUAGCUAGUUGGUGAGGUAAAAGCCCACCAAGGCGACGAUCCGUAGCGGGUCUGAGAGGACGAUCCGCCACACUGGGACUGAGACACGGCCCAGACUCCUACGGGAGGCAGCAGUGGGGAAUUUUGGACAAUGGGGGCAACCCUGAUCCAGCCAUGCCGCGUGAGUGA